GACCUCGUAGCAUAAUGAUUAGUGCGUCUGGAAUACAUUCGAUGGUUGGAGUCUGAAACGAUUCACUAGAAUAUCCCUGUUCGACUCAGGGCGAGGUUA